UGGUUGGGUGCACCUGUAGUUCUGUUUAUUGGUCAGUGGAAAUGAAAAAAAAAAAAAAAAAUCUAAGUUCAUUAAAAAUGAUCACUGUGCAGGCCAAGGAGUUCAUUUAUCACUGGAUUUGACCUGCAGAGAUGUCAGAUUGAUGCCCCUGAUAGAUAUACACCAGACCCUUCACACUGAGCCUAAUUCGGAAGUAGCCAUACUACCCAGGAUGUAUUUCCCGAUCACUCUGAUGCUAUGAGGAUCUUCUAUGAGAGAUUCCACAGCCUUCUAAUAAGUCUCCUUUUCUCAAGCUUUCCACAAUCCAUUAUGCUGCAGUCAGAAGCAUCUUCCUGAAUGCCACCCUGCUGAUGAUGCUGGCAUGCUUAAAACCCUUCAAAGACUCCUCAUUACUCUUCAGAUCAACUUGAAAUGCUCCCACAUGGCCUGUGAGGGGCAACUGACCUAAGCCUCUUUCAGUUGUGCCAAUGCCUUGCUCACAUUCUCCUCACUAGCUCUUUGCUUCUCCAAUUUCAUCUUCCUGUAAGAUCCUCCACCCCAGCUUCCUCCUUCGGCUUAUAACUCCUGCUUGUCCUUCUCAGCUCACAUUUGAUAUAGCCACCCUUCCCCGCAUUAACUCCCAUAGGAUCCCAUAUUACUCUUGUCAGAGCACAUUUCAUAUUUUAUUGUAUUUUCCUCUUUCCUCGUUCAAUUUCCCUGCUAUUUGAGGGCAAGGACGAUGUGGAGCUUAUUCACUGGUUUAUUCUCAGUGACCAGAGCUUUUGAUUGCAUAGAAGAACCCCAAAAGAUUGCAUGGUAUGUCGAAUGAAUUGGGGUACAAGGGGCUUUAAAGCAUCACUUGGGGAGUGAUGUUCUGAUGAAGAGUCAGUAAGCCUGAGUAGAAAAGAUGUAAAAACAUUCCCAUAUAUCUUCACACAAAGCUGGGUAUCUGAUUUUCACUCACAUUCUCCUCUGAGUUUGAAGCUUGGGAAACAUUCAGCAUUUUUUCCUAGCAUCAGAUUUACUGGAGAUGCUCAAUGAGAUAAUAUCUGGAGCCUGGAGAUGAAGAAACAGAUGGUGCAACUC
rnacentral:lncRNA from 1 species